rnacentral:rRNA from 1 species
GAUGAACGCUAGCGGGAGGCUUAAUACAUGCAAGUCGCACGGCAGCAUUGAUAUAGUAAUAUAUUAGAUGGCGAGUGGCGCACGGGUGAGUAACGCGUACACAACCUACCCUUAAGAGGGGGAUAACUCAGAGAAAUUUGGGAUAAUACCCCAUAAUAUCGGAGAUAUGCAUAUAUUUUUGAUUAAAGUUACGGCGCUUAAGGAUGGGUGUGCGUUAGAUUAGGUAGUUGGUGAGGUAACGGCUCACCAAGCCGACGAUCUAUAAGGGGCGUGAGAGCGUGGUCCCUCACACGGGUACUGAGACACGGACCCGACUCCUACGGGAGGCAGCAGUAAGGAAUAUUGGACAAUGCCCGCAAGGGUGAUCC